rnacentral:rRNA from 1 species
GUGGGGAAUAUUGGGCAAUGGGGGAAACCCUGACCCAGCAACGCCGCGUGAGGGAAGAAGGUUUUCGGAUUGUAAACCUCUGUCCUUGGUGACGAAGGAAGUGACGGUAACCAAGGAGGAAGCCCCGGCUAACUACGUGCCAGCAGCCGCGGUAAUACGUAGGGGGCAAGCGUUGUCCGGAAUGACUGGGCGUAAAGGGCGUGUAGGCGGCCGAUUAAGUCUGGAGUGAAAGUCCUGCUUUCAAGGUGGGAAUUGCUUUGGAGACUGGUUGGCUUGAGUGCGGAAGAGGUAAGUGGAAUUCCCAGUGUAGCGGUGAAAUGCGUAGAGAUUGGGAGGAACACCAGUGGCGAAGGCGACUUACUGGGCCGUAACUGACGCUGAGGCGCGAAAGCGUGGGGAGCGAACAGGAUUAGAAACCCCGGUAGUCC